CUCGAGUAGGCCGGCAGGCCCCAAGCAAGCAAGCAAGCAAGCAAGGAGGCAGGCAGAGUGGCCACCAGAGUUCUCUGCAGCAGACCCUCUGCCCAGGCCAGCCCGGCCAGCCUUUGCCAGGUUAAUUUACACAAUCCAAUCCUCAGUAUGCCACAAGUGGAGAAGAGGUAGAAGAUGACUGCUGAACCCUGGUUCUUCAAGAGAGAUCUCAGAAAGGCAAGCUAAGCCACUUACCACAAUGGAAGGCAAAACUUCUUUCUCAGUAUUGCAAAUGGUACAGAAGUACAAAGGAGGUUUCUUGUUUUGAUUUUGUUCUGCUAAGUGAAGCAGCUGUCAGCAGGGGAAUUAACAACACCUUCUUGGAAAAUAGCUUGUCAGACCUGCCACUCCAGCUGUUUUUUGGUCACUACACCUAGAAUCAUUGCAUGUUUGUAUUGCUAGAGAACACUUUGGGUCAAAUCCUACCCUCAAUGAAAUGGAGUCAUUGACUUCAAUGAAGCAAACCAUGACUCCGAUUUUGGGUUGUAUUUUUAUUGUGAGGAAAAUAAAUUCUUGCCAUCGGUUUUGUUCAAAUCCCACUCCUUCCUAUGUAAGCCUGUAAAUGAUGAAUGAUCAUUGUGAAAUGUAAGUAUUUCAUGUAGCAUGGUUCAUCAUACUGACAAAGUGCCACAGCAUUUAAUUCGUAGGCAAUUUUUGUUACUCAAACUAACCUGAUUUGUUAAAAGGGUACCCAAGCUUGCCUCUUGUUUCCUGAGCAGAUUCAAUUAGGGAAUGAAAAAUGAAAAUAAAUGGCCCAUGUAUUGAACCUUGUUGUGAGGUUCCCAUAUCUUAGUGUGACAUAGAUGGAUGGGCAUGUGCUUUAAGAAAAAUAAUAGUCUAGUGCCCCCUAAGGCAUUCACAUGAUAUUAUUUGCCUUGUCAUUAUUGUCUCUGUAUAAUCUAUGGUGAGACAGGAAACAGAGGUGAUCUCUGAACAAGUUUGGCAAGUGAGCACAGUAGCCUCAGUGUCAUCAGGACAUAUACAUAUGCAUAAAUGGCAGCAAUCACUUUAUCUGCCAUCCUUUACUGAGUCUAGGGAUUCCCCUUUCCAUGUCUCCAUCACUUUGGUCCUAGUCACACACUUCUCUCAGGUCUGAACCUCUGAACUAGUGUUACCAGACACCCUUCCCCCACCCCCCAUUUUUGGAAACUCUGACUUCCUGCAGAAGCAAAGGAAGCAGAGCAUUAACAAGCAUUUGGUAUCAGGAGGGAAAACCUGGCCUCUCUCUGAAUCAAACUAUGGCAUGCCAAUACUGAACCAGUGCAAAAGUUGCCUAACAAAAUGUGAUGCACCUCCCUUCGUGUAAAUCCCAUGCAUUCUUAAUGAAGCCAGAGCUAAUAACUCUUCUGACAAUGCAGAAGUGUCAUUAAAGAGCCCCUACCACCACCACCAGAACAGGAGAAACAGCCAAAAUGUGUUUUCAUCCAUUAUAUAGAUUCAUCACAAUUGCUCCUUGUUGUUCUAUGCUUCCUCUGAAUAGUGGUUACCUCAUCCAUGCCCCUCCUCAGGUCCAGUACUUGGGAGUUGCCCUUUGUCCCUUUUGAAUUAAAGUUUUCCCGCCUUUGGAAUUUGGCCGAAGACAGAUCCCUUUAAAAGCCUCUGCUUUCCCACCCCAUGGUAUAGCUUCUGUGACUUCCAUUAGACUUGCCUGGUCUCUGUGAGGUUUCUAUCAUGGAAGCUUCACAGCCAACUUUGACUUCUGCUACCUAGAAGGUCUACCUGGCAAAGAACCCACUUCUGUGCUCACUCUUUUUUCCUAAGCUAAUUCAAGGUUGGAAUGGGCCCAGAGGCAUGCUGUUCUGGUAGCUCCAGGUCUCAACACACACAUCAGUUUCAGAGGAUGAAUACAACUGAAGGAAGCCCGGGCGGGUGCAAGGCUGGGGGAGUCAGUCAUAUGACUUGCCUGGGGGGAGCCAAGGCAGUGGGCCCCCAGACAACUGUCUCCCCUUGCCCUAUUAUAGUUAUGCCCCUGUAAUUCACUAGAUUUUUGAAACCUUGAGUUGAAACACUAGACUAUUGGAUCCAGAACUUCUGAGCUGAAAUCACUAUCCUUGAGUGCUCCCUGCAUGGGCCUGCUAUAUGGAAACCUGCAUUGGACUGCUCUGAACAUUCUUUGAACCCAGAGUCCGUGGCUCUCUGUAUGGGCCUGUCACAGGUGGCUCCUUGUGCUUGACUGCCUGAGAAGCUGUAGACACCAGAGCUAAAUCCUUAAGCCACUGAGGCUGGGCCAUUCCACAGUGGAUUUGCUAUGAGCUAACCCUUGAGUCUGACUGCCUGGGAAGCCAGGAACAUCCCCUUUGCUAGCUGUAGGCACAUGGAGUGCCACUGAUCCUGGAAUUUGCUGCCAAGACAGCACCUCACUGCCUCUCCUUGCCCUCCACCUUGGAAAAACCUUUGCAUUUGGGACCCUUCAAAUCUUCCCUGGUGGAAGUCACCCUUUUGGCAGCACACACAAGUCAGCAAGCACAAGAGAAAUAUUCAGCCGCUCUUGACUUUCUCUCUUUGCUUUAUCUCUUUCUCCCUACCGGUCUCUCCCCCUCCUUCUUUCCACAUUACAAUGCUCACCAGUCGCUGGGCUGUUAGAACCUUCAUUUCCUUGCUCCCUCUCACUCCCCCUCCCUCCUUAUCCUGUU